GUGCUCCAGUUUUCACAUAUUUUUUUAUCGAUAUGUUUCUUUUUUCAUCGUUUCUGACGUACAAAAACAGCUGACCUGGCUGCUUUGUAAAAAUACAGCGUGAUUAAAAUGCAUUUUAAUUUUUCAAUUGCUUGUUUUGAAGCAAAGCGAUUGCAGAAAUUAAGUGAUCUAAGAAGAUCUAGACAUCUUAGAUGCAACACUUGUGUAUUUAACAUGUCUGACGAACUAUUUUUGAAGUCAUUUCGGAUCGACAAAAAAACUUUCAAAAUGAUUUUGGAGAAAGUUCAACCCCAUUUAGGUGUUACCAGGAAGUUAUCUCCCUCUACGCAAUUGGUUUCAGUAAUGCGAUAUCUCGCCACUGGCUGCUACCAGUGGGCUGUUGCCAAAGACCACCAUAUAAACAUUGGACGCAGUACAUUUGGAAAGAUUCUUCACAAACUUAUUCCGUUGAUGGACAGGCUGUUAUGUGUUGAGUUCAUUUCGUUGCAGAUGAAUAAUCAUCAAUUGCAACAAUCAUAUGAAUAUUUCUAUCGGAACUUUAAAUUGCCUCGAAUUGGUGCCUGCGUGGAUGGAACUCACAAUAAAGCCUGUACAAAACCACUCCGUGUUCUAUCAUAGGAAAGGAUUUUAUAGCAUGAAUUUCAUAAAACCCACCAGGAUUUCAUCUUGAAGAGAUGAUUUAUGCUUUCCCCUGGAUAUAAAGAACAAAGCGGUAAUUUUGAAAUAAAAAAUUAAUUUGCUGCACUUA